CUACGGGUGGCUGCAGUGGGGAAUAUUGCACAAUGGGCGCAAGCCUGCUGCAGCCAUGCCGCGUGUGUGAAGAAGGCCUUCGGGUUGUAAAGCACUUUCAGCGGGGAGGAAGGCGGUGAGGUUAAUAACCUCAUCGAUUGACGUUACCCGCAGAAGAAGCACCGGCUAACUCCGUGCCAGCAGCCGCGGUAAUACGGAGGGUGCAAGCGUUAAUCGGAAUUACUGGGCGUAAAGCGCACGCAGGCGGUCUGUCAAGUCGGAUGUGAAAUCCCCGGGCUCAACCUGGGAACUGCAUUCGAAACUGGCAGGCUAGAGUCUUGUAGAGGGGGGUAGAAUUCCAGGUGUAGCGGUGAAAUGCGUAGAGAUCUGGAGGAAUACCGGUGGCGAAGGCGGCCCCCUGGACAAAGACUGACGCUCAGGUGCGAAAGCGUGGGGAGCAAACAGGAUUAGAUACCCCUGUAGUC
rnacentral:rRNA from 1 species